rnacentral:rRNA from 1 species
GACGAACGCUGGCGGCGCGCCUAACACAUGCAAGUCGAACGAGCGAGAGAGAGCUUGCUUUCUCGAGCGAGUGGCGAACGGGUGAGUAACGCGUGAGGAACCUGCCUCAAAGAGGGGGACAACAGUUGGAAACGACUGCUAAUACCGCAUAAGCCCACGGCUCGGCAUCGAGCAGGGGGAAAAGGAGCAAUCCGCUUUGAGAUGGCCUCGCGUCCGAUUAGCUAGUUGGUGAGGUAACGGCCCACCAAGGCGACGAUCGGUAGCCGGACUGAGAGGUUGAACGGCCACAUUGGGACUGAGACACGGCCCAGACUCCUACGGGAGGCAGCAGUGGGGAAUAUUGCACAAUGGGGGAAACCCUGAUGCAGCGACGCCGCGUGGAGGAAGAAGGUCUUCGGAUUGUAAACUCCUGUUGUUGGGGAAGAUAAUGACGGUACCCAACGAGGAAGUGACGGCUAACUACGUGCCAGCAGCCGCGGUAAAACGUAGGUCACAAGCGUUGUCCGGAAUUACUGGGUGUAAAGGGAGCGCAGGCGGGAAGACAAGUUGGAAGUGAAAUCUAUGGGCUCAACCCAUAAACUGCUUUCAAAACUGUUUUUCUUGAGUAGUGCAGAGGUAGGCGGAAUUCCCGGUGUAGCGGUGGAAUGCGUAGAUAUCGGGAGGAACACCAGUGGCGAAGGCGGCCUACUGGGCACCAACUGACGCUGAGGCUCGAAAGUGUGGGUAGCAAACAGGAUUAGAUACCCUGGUAGUCCACACCGUAAAUGAUG